GGUCAAGUGAAGAAGCGCAUACGGUGGAUGCCUUGGCAGUCAGAGGCGAUGAAAGACGUGGUAGCCUGCGAUAAGCUUUGGGGAGUCGGCAAACAGACUGUGAUCCAGAGAUCUCUGAAUGGGGGAACCCACUCAGCAUAAGCUGAGUAUCUUGUACUGAAUACAUAGGUGCAAGAGGCGAACCAGGGGAACUGAAACAUCUAAGUACCCUGAGGAAAAGAAAUCAACCGAGAUUCCCUUAGUAGUGGCGAGCGAACGGGGACCAGCCCUUAAGUUGAUUUGAGAUUAGUGGAACGCUCUGGAAAGUGCGGCCAUAGUGGGUGAUAGCCCCGUACACGAAAAUCUCUUAUCAAUGAAAUCGAGUAGGACGGAGCACGAGAAACUUUGUCUGAAUAUGGGGGGACCAUCCUCCAAGGCUAAAUACUACUGACUGACCGAUAGUGAACCAGUACCGUGAGGGAAAGGCGAAAAGAACCCCGGAGAGGGGAGUGAAAUAGAACCUGAAACCGUAUGCGUACAAGCAGUGGGAGCCUACUUUGUUAGGUGACUGCGUACCUUUUGUAUAAUGGGUCAGCGACUUAUAUUCAGUGGCGAGCUUAACCGAAUAGGGGAGGCGUAGCGAAAGCGAGUCUUAAUAGGGCGUUUAGUCGCUGGGUAUAGACCCGAAACCGGGCGAUCUAUCCAUGGGCAGGUUGAAGGUUAGGUAACACUGACUGGAGGACCGAACCGACUACCGUUGAAAAGUUAGCGGAUGACCUGUGGAUCGGAGUGAAAGGCUAAUCAAGCUCGGAGAUAGCUGGUUCUCCUCGAAAGCUAUUUAGGUAGCGCCUCAUGUAUCACUGUAGGGGGUAGAGCACUGUUUCGGCUAGGGGGUCAUCCCGACUUACCAAACCGAUGCAAACUCCGAAUACCUACAAGUGCCGAGCAUGGGAGACAC
rnacentral:rRNA from 1 species